AGUGAACGCUGGCGGUAGGCCUAACACAUGCAAGUCGAACGGCAGCACAGUAAGAGCUUGCUCUUACGGGUGGCGAGUGGCGGACGGGUGAGGAAUACAUCGGAAUCUACUUUUUCGUGGGGGAUAACGUAGGGAAACUUACGCUAAUACCGCAUACGACCUACGGGUGAAAGCAGGGGAUCUUCGGACCUUGCGCGAUUGAAUGAGCCGAUGUCGGAUUAGCUAGUUGGCGGGGUAAAGGCCCACCAAGGCGACGAUCCGUAGCUGGUCUGAGAGGAUGAUCAGCCACACUGAAACUGAGACACGGUCCAGACUCCUACGGGAGGCAGCAGUGGGGAAUAUUGGACAAUGGGCGCAAGCCUGAUCCAGCCAUACCGCGUGGGUGAAGAAGGCCUUCGGGUUGUAAAGCCCUUUUGUUGAGAAAGAAAAGCAGCAGGUUAAUACCCCGCUGUUCUGACGGUACCCAAAGAAUAAGCACCGGCUAACUUCGU
rnacentral:rRNA from 1 species